GUCUACGGCCAUACCACCCUGAACGCGCCCGAUCUUGUCUGAUCUCGGAAGCUAAGCAGGGUCGGGCCUGGUUAGUACUUGGAUGGGAGUAUUUUUUUUUUCUUAUACUCCACAGAAAAAUUAACUCAAAAUAGAUU
rnacentral:rRNA from 1 species